GUCAAGACCCAAGUCAGCGUCUGCGUCAGCGGGUCAGCCAUUUUGAAAAAAAAUAAAUUGUUUGGGAAUGGUGAAUAGUAAUUAGAUUUUUGAAAAGAGAAAUUGCUAGUAUUCCUAAUAAAUAACAAUUUCAAAACUCGUGUUUAAGUGUUUUAAAAAUGACUAAUAAAACUACUGUCAACGAAGAUCCUUUCCAAUACAUUAAAGUUAGUGAAGAUGAAGAUGAUGCUAACGCCGUCGAGAUUCCUUGUGAACUUGACGGGACUCUGUUGCUGUCGACUUUAGUAGCUCAGUUUCCUGGAGCUUGUGGCCUCAAAUAUCGCCAUCGUGAAACCAAAACGAUUCGCGGUAUCCGUCUUAGUGAUGGAAAACUGCAUCCCCCGAGUGAAGCGGGAUGGGGCAAACUUUUGUAUAUUUGUGUCUUCCCAAAAGAGAACAAGCGAAAGAUGGAAGAUGUAUCACCUGAAAAUUCAGCAGCAAAAACAAAACGUUUAGAGAAGAAGCUUACUUGCUCAGAUCUUAUAUGCCUCGGUCUGCCUUGGAAAUCUACUGAAGAGUCUAUUAAACAAUACUUUGAGCAGUUUGGCGAAGUCGUAAUGGUUCAAUUGAAAAAAGAUAAAAAUGGUGUUUUUAAAGGUUUUGGUUUUGUGAGAUUCGCUACCUACGCCUCACAGAUGAGAGCCUUGGCUCAAAGACAUAACAUUGAUGGUCGUUGGGUUGAUGUCCGAAUACCAAACUCCAAAGAAGGAGUUGUACCACAGAUGCCUUGCAAAGUUUUUGUUGGCAGGUGUACCGAAGAUAUGACUGCAGAAGACCUCUGUGAAUAUUUCUCCAGGUUUGGUGAAGUAACAGAUGUAUUUGUUCCGAGGCCAUUCAGAGCUUUUGGUUUUGUUACUUUCUUAGACCCUGAAGUGGCUCAGAGUCUCUGUGGUGAAGAUCAUGUAAUAAAAGGUGCAUCAGUUUCUGUCUCUAGUGCAGCACCAAAAAUCAAAGGCAAGUCCAACCAGAAUUGGAAAGAGGAGCCUUAUGGCUCCAACAAUUGGGAUGGCAAUAGACCUGGACCAGCCGGUGGUGGUAAAGGCAAUGGAAACAGUAACAAUAUAGACACACUGAACAUGCAGAAUUUGGGAAUAAACCCUAAUGGUGGCCCACCACCUAACUUUAAUUUGCCAAUAAGUCUUGUGGCUGCAGCUCUUAACCAAGCUGGGUGGGGUGGGUUUCUCGGAGGACAGGGCAAUGCAGGCCCAAACAACUGGCAAGGAGGCCCUCCUCAAGGUAGUUCUGGUAAAAAUUGGAAUGGUAAUCAAAAUUGGGGACAAAAUGGACCACCUCCAGCUUGGAAUCAGGGGAGCAACCCUAAUUGGAAUGGUGGAAAAAAUGGUAACUGGAACCAAGGGAAUUGGCCCAGUGGACAAUCAUGGGGUGGUAAUAGUGGGGGUGGUUCGGCCAGCUCUGGUGGUGGAUGGAACAACAAAUCUCAAACAUGAGGUUAUAAGGAGCUGAUGCCUCGGUUUCUGUGUGGACUAAAUGUGGCUGCAAUGUUCAAGAAUAGGAAACUACCAUCAGUGUGGCACCUCAAAGUGCUGUAAUUCAAGCAUACUGAAGAAGAAACUUUGAAAUUGACUUGGAUGAUGCUACAAACUGAGACCCACUUUGCAGGUUCUAGGAUCUAGGACAGGGAAGAUUGGAUUAUCAUGAAGACUAAAUAAUUUAAUAAACAUUUAGUUGAAUAUUUUUAUUAAAAAAGUUUGUUUAAUUAAA